rnacentral:rRNA from 1 species
CAGUCGCGCGGGAAUACGAAGGGGGCUAGCGUUGUUCGGAAUUACUGGGCGUAAAGCGCACGUAGGCGGAUAUUUAAGUCAGGGGUGAAAUCCCGCAGCUCAACUGCGGAACUGCCUUUGAUACUGGGUAUCUUGAGUAUGGAAGAGGUUAGUGGAAUUGCGAGUGUAGAGGUGAAAUUCGUAGAUAUUCGCAGGAACACCAGUGGCGAAGGCGGCUAACUGGUCCAUAACUGACGCUGAGGUGCGAAAGCGUGGGGAGCAAACAGGAUUAGAUACCCCGGUAGUCCCUGUCUCUUAUACA